rnacentral:sRNA from 1 species
GCUGGGUGUCGUGGCAUACACCUGUAAUCUCAGCAGCUCAGGAGGCUGAGGCAGGAGGAUCUAGAGUUCAAACCCAGCCUCAGCAAUUCAGUGAGGCCCUAAGCAACUCCAUGAGACCCUGUCUCUA